rnacentral:lncRNA from 1 species
AAAUUAUAUAAAAUCUUAGAUUUUAAAAUUUUAAAUAUAUCACUUCCUGAUACAUAACUAAUACACAUGAGAAAAUUUAGGAAAUUUUCUUGAGUCAUCUUCUUCAUUGACUGAUAAAACACCAUCAAUGGAGACCUACGUUCUUCUUUAUUGACCAACAAAACUAUCUCCUCCACAUGCCCACUUAAACAACAACCACCAUUAAUAAUGUCCAACUCCGGCCAGCAACACACCGAUAACAUCCUCCAUUCCAAUUAUAUAGGGCAUGCACUCCCACCACCAUGAGCGAAUCACCACAAAGCCACCUCACAGCCCUCCUCUGCGAUUCCGGUGAAAUACCAUUGGAAGAUGGCCCCAAUCGCUAAACACACCACAAAAAUCGUCGGAAGAUAGCCUCAAUCGCCAAACACACCACAACAGUAACACAUAUCUCAUUUGAUACAUAAUCUUAUGUAACAUUAAGACACAGAGAAAAAAAAAUCGAUACGUCUUUUGUUAUAUUUUCAUUCAGAUACAUCAUUCUUAUGUAUCUGUAGAUGAAAAUUAAAUUAUUAAUCAGUAACACAAAAGAGAAUUUGAAACAUAUUUUUUAUCAAAUUUUCAAUUAUAUACAUCAUUCUUAUGUAUUCAGUACGAUACCUGAAAUUUGUACUUUGUUAGCCAGUUUUGUGAUGUAUCUUCGUGGUCUAUACCUCACGAAACCUGCAACACACUAUUCUUCUUCACCUCCAUUGAUUUUUCCAAGUAGCAAUUUUGUGGAGAUAUACUAAAUACACUUUGUGGGAGUCCGCGAUCGAGUUCGAUUUCGUUUGAAAAAUUAAGGAAUGAAGGGUGUGUUUGGUUUGAUGAAAAAUAUUUUUCAUGGAAAAUGUUUUCUUGAAAAAUGUAUUCUUGAAAAAUAAAUUGAUUUUCUACUUAUUUUCUCAUGUUUGAUUGGUGAAUGAAAAAUAUUUUUCGAAAAAUAUUUUAUGAUGUUUGAUUAGUGAGUAAAGAAUAUUUUUUAGAAA